UCUGUACUCUUAGUUAUAAUUAAAUUCUAUAAUUAAUUUUCAUAAGAAAGUUGAUCCAAAUAAUUAACUUCUUUUUUUGCAAAUACAAGAAACAUAAUAAUUGAAACAUACGAAAAAAAUUUACACCAAUUUUAACAAUGAAUUUAAAGGAAUGCUCUAUCUGUAUAAAAACUAAAACAAAAUGUAUGCAUCCCAAUUCAUUUCGUCUGCAAUGCUUCAUAAGUGUGUCAAAAGAAUGUCCAAAAAAAUCAUAGCUGCGCUAAUGCUAACUACAUAAACAUUUAACUCAAUGCGCAUCCAUUACUCUACUCCAUUCCACGUAUCAGAUAUGCUUCCGGACUUCUUAUCUUUCUUUCAUUUAACUAGUUUUUAUUUCCUCUUUCCUCCAUGUUUCCAAAUAGCUAUCAUGACUUCGAUAUAACAAAUCAAAUACUCAAAGUUGGUGGUAAAUUAGAAACUUGGAAUUUCGGUAGUAACAAAAUCCCAUUUUACAGUACUGUUAAUCAACAAAUUUAUUGUGACUGAUAACAUAGCAUGAAAAGAAACAAAUGGGGAGGAAAAAAAAGUUCAAAUAAUAAAACCCCAGAUUAAAACAAGAGACCCGAGGGGUUCAAACUUCAAACUAACAAACUCAUACCAUAAAUCAGCAAAAUAUACAUUAUAAACACACAUCCACACAACAAUCGGAGGAACAUCGUCAAAGUAAAAAGGACGGAUAACAUACAAAGAAAUAUACAUAUAACAUCAAACAAUUUAAGCUAUAUUUGAACAAGAAAUCAAGAAAUUCAACGGAUUAAACGAAAACUAUUAAUUACCCAUAAAAAGCGAAGACCCAUGAAUCUUGAUAAGUUGACAAAGGCAGCAACAUGAUGGUAACAGUGGUUUAUCAACAGGAAAUGAGAUGCUUUAUUGAAAUGGAAUAAAAAUGUUGAAAAAGGAACACGGUUUUGGGAAAAAGAUUUUUCAGCCUCACUGUAAAAAAUAAGCAUGUUUUUGUUGGGACGUAAUUCUCGUGUCAAAAGCCAAAUGGCCGUCUUUUUGGUUUUGCAGAAUCCUUUGCCAGCCCUUUCGUCCACUGUGGUUUUGGUUGAUUUUACGACUUUUUUCUUAUUUUUAAAUAAAUUUAUUUCAUAUUUUUCUUUUUGUUUUCUUG
rnacentral:lncRNA from 1 species